GCUCAGAGGAUCAGGGCGGUCCACGUGAGUAAUCCACAGGCAGGUCUCCAACGUCUGUGGCAGCGGCUAGACAAGACUUAUGGCUCUCCAGAGGUAAUUGAAUCCUCACUCUUCCAACGGUUGCAGACUUUUCCAAGAAUCUCCAACAAAGACACUCACUUACUGCAGGAGCUUGCUGAUCUUCUGUUAGAGCUAUCGUAUGCCAAAAGUGAAAGUUAUUUGCCGGGUCUUAGCUUUCUCGACACACCAAGGGGCAUAAACCCGAUAGUUGAAAAACUCCCAUAUGGACUCCAGGAGUCAUGGGUUACACAAGGUACCAAAUACAAAAGGGAAAACGGUGCAGUCUAUCCACCUUUUUCGUAUUUUGUGCGGUUCGUAAAUGACUACGCUGAAAUGAGAACAGACCCUAGCUUUAUGUUACAGUGUUCAAACGUAAUAAAUCCAAGGGUUGAUAAGACAUCAGUAAGACGAGACAAAUACAGAGUUCCAUUGGCGGUGAAUAAAAUAGAGAUCAGUCCGGCUAAAUUGACAGCACUCGAUCCAGACAAACAAUGUCCUAUCCACCAAAAACCACAUUCACUCGUCAAAUGCAGGGGGUUUAGAAUGAAAACACUAGACGAAAGAAAGAACAUUCUCAAAGAGCACGCCAUUUGUUUUAAAUGUUGUGCGUCCACAAAUCACAGGGCUCGAGACUGUAAAGCUAUUAUCCAAUGCUCAGAAUGUGAUAGCGAUGCUCAUGUGUCUGCCAUGCAUGUCGGUCCACCUCCAUGGACACCUCAAGACUUUAAUCCCCCAACCCAGAGUCACGGCGGGGAGUCUGAGGGCCCAAAUCCUGUGAACACAGCCAGUUGCACAGAAGUAUGUGGGCAAGGCGUAAAAGGAAAAUCAUGCUCAAAGAUCUGUUUAGUUAAUGUAUAUCGCCGAACUUCUCCAGAAAAGAAAAAGAGGGUAUAUGCCAUGUUGGAUGAUCAGAGCAAUUCAUCCUUAGCCAGAUCUGCGUUUUUUGACAUGUUUAAUGUGCAAGGUACCAUAUUCCCAUACACCAUGAGAACAUGUGCAGGUUUAUCAGAGACACGAGGUCGCAAAGCUGAUGGCUUUAUUGUAGAAGAUGUAGAUGGUAAGGUCUCCAUGAUGCUGCCUACAAUAACAGAAUGUGAUCAGAUUCCAGAUAAUAGAGACGAAAUUCCCAGCCCUGAGGUAGCAGCAGCUCACCCUCAUUUGCGAUCAAUCGCUUCACAGAUUCCUCCUCUCGACCCAUCGGCAGACAUUCUUCUGCUCCUGGGAAGGGACAUCAUUCAGGCUCAUAAAGUUCGUGGUCAGGAGCCUUUCCAACCGAAGAUCGUGCUGUAGGCAUGCAAGGUCUUGACAUUGGGCAGACUACCCCACCAAUGCAGCGCAGUUUGGGCUUAGGAUGGGAGCUGUUGACUGACCAAUUCAAGUUCCAAUCUGCAUGGUAGAAGAGUGUCCGCCUCACAGUUCUGACGAUUGUUGGUUCAAUCCCAGCUCCGGCCUCCCUGGGAAGAAUUUUGCAGACGUUUCAAAUUCAGCAUCAAGUGCUGCUCAUGGACCAUACAAUUACCCAUUGUAAAUAAUAAGCAAGAAACAAAGGCACAGACCCUCCCAAAUGUGCAACUCCUUCCGGCUACCACUAGACGACUCAUCCCCUUGCUCCGUG